rnacentral:rRNA from 1 species
GACGAACGCUAGCGGGAGGCCUAACACAUGCAAGCCGAGCGGUAUUGUUUCUACGGAAAUGAGAGAGCGGCGUACGGGUGCGGAACACGUGUGCAACCUGCCUUUAUCUGGGGGAUAGCCUUUCGAAAGGAAGAUUAAUACUCCAUAAUAUAUUGAACGGCAUCGUUUAAUAUUGAAAGCUCCGGCGGAUAGAGAUGGGCACGCGCAAGAUUAGCUAGUUGGUGAGGUAACUGCUCACCAAGGCAAUGAUCUUUAGGGGGCCUGAGAGGGUGAUCCCCCACACUGGUACUGAGACACGGGCCAGACUCCUACGGGAGGCAGCAGUGAGGAAUAUUGGUCAAUGGGUGCAAGCCUGAACCAGCCAUCCCGCGUGAAGGACGACUGCCCUAUGGGUUGUAAACUUCUUUUGUAUAGGGAUAAACCUUUCCACGUGUGGAAAGCUGAAGGUACUAUACGAAUAAGCACCGGCUAACUCCGUGCCAGCAGCCGCCGUAAUAC